AGUGGGGAAUAUUGCACAAUGGGCGCAAGCCUGAUGCAGCCAUGCCGCGUGUAUGAAGAAGGCCUUCGGGUUGUAAAGUACUUUCAGCAGUGAGGAAGGGGUGUACGUUAAUAGCGUGCAUCUUUGACGUUAGCUGCAGAAGAAGCACCGGCUAACUCCGUGCCAGCAGCCGCGGUAAUACGGAGGGUGCGAGCGUUAAUCGGAAUUACUGGGCGUAAAGCGCAUGCAGGUGGUGAGUUAAGUCAGAUGUGAAAGCCCGGGGCUCAACCUCGGAAUUGCAUUUGAAACUGGCUCACUAGAGUACUGUAGAGGGGGGUAGAAUUUCAGGUGUAGCGGUGAAAUGCGUAGAGAUCUGAAGGAAUACCAGUGGCGAAGGCGGCCCCCUGGACAGAUACUGACACUCAGAUGCGAAAGCGUGGGGAGCAAA
rnacentral:rRNA from 1 species